UACGGAGGAUGCAAGCGUUAUCCGGAAUUAUUGGGCGUAAAGCGUCCGCAGGUGGUUGUACAAGUCUGCUGUUAAAGCGUCCAGCUUAACUGGAUACAGGCAGUGGAAACUGUGCGACUAGAGUUUGGUAGGGGUCACGGGAAUUCCCAGUGUAGCGGUGAAAUGCGUAGAUAUUGGGAAGAACACCAGCGGCGAAAGCGCGUGACUGGGCCUGAACUGACACUCAUGGACGAAAGCUAGGGGAGCGAAAGGG
rnacentral:rRNA from 1 species